UACGUAGGGUGCGAGCGUUGUCCGGAAUUAUUGGGCGUAAAGAGCUUGUAGGCGGUUUGUCGCGUCUGCCUGUGAAAAUCCGGGGCUCAACCCCGGACUUGCAGUGGGUACGGGCAGACUAGAGUGUGGUAGGGGAGACUGGAAUUCCUGGUGUAGCGGUGGAAUGCGCAGAUAUCAGGAGGAACACCGGUGGCGAAGGCGGGUCUCUGGGCCGAUACUGACGCUGAGGAGCGAAAGCGUGGGGAGCGAACAGG
rnacentral:rRNA from 1 species